UCCACAUUAUGAAUGUAUUUAAUACCACUGAACAGAACGCUUAAAAAUGGUUAAGAUGGUAAAUUUUACCACCAUAGAAAAAAAAAUAGAAAACUAAGUUUCUUUGGACUAAUAGUUGACUAAACCCAACCACUUCCAGUCUCAACAUGAGAGUUAAUCUCAUAAUUGCAACUCUGGGACAUCAAGUUCUUGCUGUGGUUCCAAAAAAUGCUAUCUGAAAAGUUCUCGUCAAAUCCUUCUAUCUCCCUUGAUGUGACACAAAGGAGCAGCUCUGUGGGGAAUAAGCUUAGGAAUAAUUCCCUGAGCCUGCACUGAUGGGUCAACAAGGCAAAAAGAAUUACAAAGCCAUAGAAUGCUCACACCCAAGUGUGGGUAAACGAGAUUGGGUAAAUAAGCAUAGACAGGGCAGAGGCCCCAAGAUGGGGGGGGGGGGGCGGCAAAGGUAUAUGAGAUUAGGUAUUCAGGGCGAAAAGGCCCCCCAAUUUAGUACUAUAGCAGAAAGCUGCUUUCACAGGAAGGAAGAACCAAAUUAGGUAAACAGGUAAAUAGGGUGAUAGACCACUGAGGGGUGAAGCUACCCAGAGCAGAGCUGAUUAGCAAAAGAAAGGUGGCCUUUGACCCUGAGGUUGCAUCCUCUGUCUGUCUUAUCCCCUAGGCUGGCUAAGAUAAACAGGCACAGCGCCUCAGGUCUACCCUUAACAUCCAUCUGCCCGGCAGCAGGAUUUUGGUUUAUAUAGACCCAAACCCCUAACACCAUAUAUCUUCAAAACCCCCUUUCCCUCAUGCCCAUGAGUUAAUACCACCUUUCCCUC